UCUGUAAAGUUCCUUCGACGAGUCGAGUAGUUUGGGAAUGCUGCUCUAAAUGGGAGGUAUAUGUCUUCUAAAGCUAAAUACCGGCCAGAGACCGAUAGCGCACAAGUAGAGUGAUCGAAAGAUGAAAAGCACUUUGAAAAGAGAGUUAAAAAGUACGUGAAAUUGUUGAAAGGGAAGCGUUUAUGACCAGACUUGGGCUUGGUUAAUCAUCUGGGGUUCUCCCCAGUGCACUUUUCCAGUCCAGGCCAGCAUCAGUUUUCGCCGGGGGAUAAAGACUUCGGGAAUGUGGCUCUCUUCGGGGAGUGUUAUAGCCCGUUGUGUAAUACCCUGGCGGGGACUGAGGUUCGCGCAUCUGCAAGGAUGCUGGCGUAAUGGUCAUCAACGACCCGUCUUGAAACACGGACCAAGGAGUCGUCUUCGUAUGCGAGUGUUCGGGUGUCAAACCCCUACGCGUAAUGAAAGUGAACGCAGGUGAGAGCUUCGGCGCAUCAUCGACCGAUCCUGAUGUUCUCGGAUGGAUUUGAGUAAGAGCAUACGGGGCCGGACCCGAAAGAAGGUGAACUAUGCCUGUAUAGGGUGAAGCCAGAGGAAACUCUGGUGGAGGCUCGCAGCGGUUCUGACGUGCAAAU
rnacentral:rRNA from 4 species